rnacentral:rRNA from 1 species
AUGAUGGGCGAUGAGACGACACCAUCCGACUUUAUGGAUGAGGAGUACUACAUGUUUCGCGGAGAAGGAUCCGAUAAUGACACCUUGGAGGAUCACGAGGAAGCAAUCAUGUCGUCUGCUAUACCUAGCAUGGUUGAUCCAUUAGACUUUGUCUACACAAACAUCCCAGACACCACUCACAUCCUGAAGCUCGACGCAAACUGCAAACACUGCAAGUCCAAAAAGUUUGUGUCUGAGACUGACGGUUUCUGCUGUCGCAAUGGCCAGAUCGAACUUAAACAACCGGAGCCAAUCCCAGAGCUGAUGAGGCUAUGGUCAAGCAUGGAUGCAGAUUCUAGACACGGCACCAUCUACCACAAUGUGCAUUCUUUCGGGCCUAGCUCCCGUCCUGAGCACCUGCAGUUGUACUUCUAUGAUGAUGACCCAACCAUCACUCUUCAUUAG